rnacentral:lncRNA from 1 species
GGGAGCCGCUGAGAGCCGAGAGAAAGCGGUGAUAAGACGAUGAUGUCGCUCAGAGAACCGAGAUUGAGAAAGACCGGAGCAAGCUGAUAUGGCUGGAGAGGGGCACGAGAAUGAGGGCACAGCUGGCCCUGCAGAGCUGAGAAAAUCCCCUCAGAAAAGAGGGCACAGCAUUUCACCAUCUCGUUCCUUCAGACCAGCUCCUGGUAUAAAGUGAUGUAUACUGAAAGUACCAAACCAAAGGAAAAGAGCAUCACCAAAGCAGGGAAGUUUGCUACACACAGAUGCUUCCAUCCAGAGCAGGCAAGAGAGAAGUGAGACAGGUUUUAAUUACCUCAGUUCCAUGCCUUGGCAGUACAGCCCAGUGCAGUCCCUCAGGUGAGCAGCUCACCCCUGGGCUUCUCCCAUCUCCAGCCCAGCUUUUCCCACCUUGCUCUCUUCUGCUUUCAUUUCCAUCUGCACAUUUAAGUUCCAUCUUCUAAUUGUAAUUCUUUAACUUCAUGCUUUCAGUCCAGUGCUCUGAAUAACUGCAGUUGGCUUCUCCACUGCUAAUUUACUCAUAGUAGAAAAAUCAGUAACUGCCCCCCAACUCUGUUCUCUAAAGCCUCUGGAAACCUGCUGCAUUUACCCUGAAAAACAAGGGCCCCAUCCCUCAGGAAGCAGGCACAACCCAGCCGCAUGACAUCAAUGCAGUUCUCUGGCCAGAUUCUUUAACAAUGUAAAGGAGGUAUCUUUCAUCUGAUUCCUAAGUGAAUAAGAAACUUGAAGGAAACAGGAGGGUAGCAACAAGGCAUCUUCUUGAAUCUCUCAUUUUCCUGAACAAGUGCAAUGAUGAGAGAUCUUGUUGGACACAGAAGAGAAGAGAGACAAUAUUUGUCUGGAGCAGCUCUUGCCAGAUGAGAAAUCCCUCAGUGUGCACACAGUUGUUUGACCACCUCGCACAGAGAAUAAAGAAACAGAUUUUGGCUCCACACCUCUCUGAUGGGCUC